GGACUACAGGGGUAUCUAAUCCUGUUUGAUCCCCACGCUUUCGCUUCUCAGUGUCAGUAUUGGGCCAGGCAACCGCCUUCGCCACCGAUGUUCCUCCUGAUAUCUACGUAUUUCACCACUACACCAGGAAUUCCGUCACCCUCUCCCAUACUCAAGCUCUGCAGUUUCAGAUGCACUUCUGGGGUUAAGCCCCAGGCUUUCACAUCUGACUUGCAGAGCCACCUACAAGCGCUUUACGCCCAGUAAUUCCGAACAACGCUCGCACCCUACGUAUUACCGCGGCUGCUGGCAC
rnacentral:rRNA from 1 species